UACGGAGGGGGCUAGCGUUGUUCGGAAUUACUGUGCGUAAAGCGCACGUAGGCGGCUUUGUAAGUUAGAGGUGAAAGCCCAGGGCUUAACCCUGGAAUUGCCUUUAAGACUGCAUCGCUAGAAUCGUGGAGAGGUGAGUGGAAUUCCGAGUGUAGAGGUGAAAUUCGUAGAUAUUCGGAAGAACACCAGUGGCGAAGGCGACUCACUGGACACGUAUUGACGCUGAGGUGCGAAAGCGUGGGGAGCAAACAGG
rnacentral:rRNA from 1 species